GGAAUUGUUCGCAACGGGCGCAAGCCUGACGACGCAACGCCGCGUGGAGGAUGAAGAUCUUCGGGUUGUAAACUCCUGUUGCCCGGGACGAACGGCCCUGACCCAAUACGUCAGGGUGUGACGGUACCGGGGGAGGAAGCCCCGGCUAACUCCGUGCCAGCAGCCGCGGUAAUACGGGGGGGGCGAGCGUUGUUCGGAAUUACUGGGCGUAAAGGGCUCGUAGGUGGCCAACUAAGUCAGCUGUGAAAUCCCUCGGCUCAACCGAGGAAUGGCGGCUGAUACUGGAUGGCUUGAAUCCGGGAGAGGGAUGUGGAAUUCCAGGUGUAGCGGUGAAAUGCGUAGAUAUCUGGAGGAACACCGGUGGCGAAGGCGGCAUCCUGGACCGGUAUUGACACUGAGGAGCGAAAGCCAGGGGAGCAAAC
rnacentral:rRNA from 1 species